GUGCGUUUGCGCCACUCUGACGAGACUGCUCCCAGAGGACUUGUUGUCUUGUUGUACUUGUAAACCACCCUCAUUCCCCUUCUGCGAACUGUAAUCUGGCAGACGACGCGGGACAACAGUCUUUCCAUAUCUACACAAUCAUUUUAACUGGAAAUGCUAGGGAAUAAGAAAGCGUCUGCUGCUACCACCUCUCCCAGCUAGGCUCUCCUCCCGAUCGCUUUCAGAAGGCUGGGAUCACAUGACUCAAUUUUUCGUACUAUCUCCUCUCCGUGGAGACUCCUCUCCUUUCUUGCCUUGGACGAGCUUCCACAGAGAGGACUGAAUAAGAAAAAAUCUACACUGGCUGUUACGAUGGUAGUAUCCAAGCUGUGCGGCUGAAUUUGAUGCAAAACUAUCGCUGUUGGGUGAACUUGAACUGAAAUGAAAAAGAAAUGAAAAUCCUUGAAUUGAACAGUGAACCGAACUAGUUCAUUUUCCAAAGGGAUAAAGAGGCGAGAUGCAGAAGAGGAUGCUGACUGGUGAAGCCGGGUGUCCAUGUCCACAUCGCUCCGGGAGCAAGGCACAUUCUCUGCUUUCCGAAACCUCUUGAGCUCCUCCCGGCCCUUCAGGCUCUCCGACCGACCAAGCUUGACCUCCGACCUGGAACUGAAGCCAUUGGAGAGCAGAGGAAGGGGGAGAGGACGAAGGAGAGAUUUAAUGAACAUGAAUAUUCUGAUGUAUUGCCACCUAUUUCAACUGGGAUUCUUAAUCUUCUGCAGAUAACCUUGAAUGGACAGCCAUCAAUUUUCUGUGAACACAGAUCUCUAGUUAUGUCCUUCUAAAACAAU